UACGGAGGGUGCAAGCGUUAUCCGGAUUCACUGGGUUUAAAGGGUGCGUAGGUGGGUUGGUAAGUCAGUGGUGAAAUCUCCGUGCUUAACAUGGAAACUGCCAUUGAUACUACUGAUCUUGAAUUUUCAGGAGGUAAGCGGAAAUAUGUCAUGUAGCGGUGAAAUGCUUAGAUAAUGACAUAGAACACCAAUUGCGAAGGCAG
rnacentral:rRNA from 1 species